UGGGGAAUAUUGGACAAUGGGCGAAAGCCUGAUCGAGCCAUGCCGCGUGUGUGAAGAAGGUCUUCGGAUUGUAAAGCACUUUAAGUUGGGAGGAAGGGCAGUAAGCGAAUACCUUGCUGUUUUGACGUUACCGACAGAAUAAGCACCGGCUAACUCUGUGCCAGCAGCCGCGGUAAUACAGAGGGUGCAAGCGUUAAUCGGAAUUACUGGGCGUAAAGCGCGCGUAGGUGGUUCGUUAAGUUGAAUGUGAAAGCCCCGGGCUCAACCUGGGAACUGCAUCCAAAACUGGCGAGCUAGAGUAGGGCAGAGGGUGGUGGAAUUUCCUGUGUAGCGGUGAAAUGCGUAGAUAUAGGAAGGAACACCAGUGGCGAAGGCGACCACCUGGGCUCAUACUGACACUGAGGUGCGAAAGCGUGGGGAGCAAACAGG
rnacentral:rRNA from 1 species